UACGGAGGGUGCAAGCGUUAAUCGGAAUUACUGGGCGUAAAGCGUGCGCAGGCGGUCUUUUAAGUCAGAUGUGAAAUCCCCGGGCUUAACCUGGGAACUGCGUUUAAACUGGAAGGCUAGAGUGUGGCAGAGGGGGGUGGAAUUCCACGUGUAGCAGUGAAAUGCGUAGAUAUGUGGAGGAACACCGAUGGCGAAGGCAGCCCCCUGGGCUAACACUGACGCUCAUGCACGAAAGCGUGGGGAGCAAACAGG
rnacentral:rRNA from 1 species